rnacentral:misc_RNA from 1 species
AAGUCGUAACAAGGUUUCCGUAGGUGAACCUGCGGAAGGAUCAUUAACAAAUUCAAUUUAUUUACACCUGUGAACCGACCGUAUCCAAGAAGAGGUGGGGCAAUAGUGAUGUUGCCCUGGCUCUGCUUGCUGGCGCGGUAAUAAACCCCUUGGCGUUGACUUUGAUAAGCACUUGUGCAUAAAAAUAAUACAACUUUUAACAAUGGAUCUCUUGGCUCUC